UACAGAGGGGGCAAGCGUUGUUCGGAAUUACUGGGCGUAAAGGGCGCGUAGGCGGCCUGUUAAGUCGAACGUGAAAUCCCCGGGCUCAACCCGGGAACUGCGUCCGAUACUGGCAGGCUUGAAUUCGGGAGAGGGAUGCGGAAUUCCAGGUGUAGCGGUGAAAUGCGUAGAUAUCUGGAGGAACACCGGUGGCGAAGGCGGCAUCCUGGACCGAGAUUGACGCUGAGGAGCGAAAGCGUGGGGAGCGAAACAGG
rnacentral:rRNA from 1 species